rnacentral:tRNA from 1 species
UUAUAUACUAGUGUUUAUUGCACAAGAAAUUUUGAUUUUCUUAGGGUUAGAUAACUUCUAUCGUAUAUAAA